rnacentral:rRNA from 1 species
AUUGAACGCUGGCGGCAGGCCUAAUACAUGCAAGUCGAACGGUAGCACAGAGAGCUUGCUCUCGGGUGACGAGUGGCGGACGGGUGAGUAAUGUCUGGGAAACUGCCCGAUGGAGGGGGAUAACUACUGGAAACGGUAGCUAAUACCGCAUAACGUCGCAAGACCAAAGUGGGGGACCUUCGGGCCUCACACCAUCGGAUGUGCCCAGAUGGGAUUAGCUAGUAGGUGGGGUAAUGGCUCACCUAGGCGACGAUCCCUAGCUGGUCUGAGAGGAGGACCAGCCACACUGGAACGGAGACACGGUCCAGACUCCUACGGGAGGCAGCAGUGGGGAAUAUUGCACAAUGGGCGCAAGCCUGAUGCAGCCAUGCCGCGUGUAUGAAGAAGGCCUUCGGGUUGUAAAGUACUUUCAGCGGGGAGGAAGGCGGUGGAGUUAAUAACCGCAUUGAUUGACGUUACCCGCAGAAGAAGCACCGGCUAACUCCGUGCCAGCCGCCGCCGUAA